GACGAACGCUGGCGGCGUGCCUAAUACAUGCAAGUCGAGCGAGUCUGCCUUGAAGAUCGGAGUGCUUGCACUCUGUGAAACAAGAUACAGGCUAGCGGCGGACGGGUGAGUAACACGUGGGUAACCUGCCCAAGAGAUCGGGAUAACACCUGGAAACAGAUGCUAAUACCGGAUAACAACAGAUGAUGCCUAUCAACUGUUUAAAAGAUGGUUCUGCUAUCACUCUUGGAUGGACCUGCGGUGCAUUAGCUAGUUGGUAGGGUAACGGCCUACCAAGGCGAUGAUGGAUAGCCGAGUUGAGAGACUGAUCGGCCACAUUGGGACUGAGACACGGCCCAAACUCCUACGGGAGGCAGCAGUAGGGAAUCUUCCACAAUGGACGGAAGUCUGAUGGAGCAACGCCGCGUGAGUGAAGAAGGGUUUCGGCUCGUAAAGCUCUGUUGUUGGUGAAGAAGGACAGGGGUAGUAACUGACCUUUGUUUGACGGUAAUCAAUUAGAAAGUCACGGCUAACUACGUG
rnacentral:rRNA from 1 species